rnacentral:tRNA from 1 species
GGAUUGUAGCUCAGUGGUAGAGCACUUGCCUGGCAUGUAUGAGGCCCUGGGUUUGAUUCUCAGCACCG